AUUGAACGCUGGCGGCAGGCCUAACACAUGCAAGUCGAGCGGUAGAGAGGUGCUUGCACUCUUGAGAGCGGCGGACGGGUGAGUAAUGCCUAGGAAUCUGCCUGGUAGUGGGGGAUAACGUUCGGAAACGGACGCUAAUACCGCAUACGUCCUACGGGAGAAAGCAGGGGACCUUCGGGCCUUGCGCUAUCAGAUGAGCCUAGGUCGGAUUAGCUAGUUGGUGAGGUAAUGGCUCACCAAGGCGACGAUCCGUAACUGGUCUGAGAGGAUGAUCAGUCACACUGGAACUGAGACACGGUCCAGACUCCUACGGGAGGCAGCAGUGGGGAAUAUUGGACAAUGGGCGAAAGCCUGAUCCAGCCAUGCCGCGUGUGUGAAGAAGGUCUUCGGAUUGUAAAGCACUUUAAGUUGGGAGGAAGGGCCAUUACCUAAUACGUGAUGGUUUUGACGUUACCGACAGAAUAAGCACCGGCUAACUCUGUGC
rnacentral:rRNA from 1 species